rfam:Schistosoma margrebowiei strain Zambia genome assembly, scaffold: SMRZ_scaffold0000226
GUUAAGGCCCUUUUCAGGGCCACCGCACAUUUUGAUUUACAUUAUUU